rnacentral:misc_RNA from 2 species
AACGCACAUUGCGCCCCUUGGUAUUCCAUGGGGCAUGCCUGUUCGAGCGUCAUUUGUACCCUCAAGCUUUGCUUGGUGUUGGGCGUCUUGUCGUAUUACGACUCGCCUUAAAUUUAUUGGCAGCCGGCACUUUGGCCUAGGAGCGCAGCACAUUUUGCGAUCGUAGCCCGUUGUACUGGCGUCCAUCAAGAACAUUUACCACGUUUGACCUCGGAUCAGGUAGGGAUACCCGCUGAACUUAA